rnacentral:rRNA from 1 species
UACGAAGGGGACUAGCGUUGUUCGGAAUUACUGGGCGUAAAGCGCACGUAGGCGGAUUUGUAAGUCAGGGGUGAAAUCCCGGGGCUCAACCUCGGAACUGCCUUUGAUACUGCAAAUCUCGAGUCCGAUAGAGGUGGGUGGAAUUCCUAGUGUAGAGGUGAAAUUCGUAGAUAUUAGGAAGAACACCGGUGGCGAAGGCGGCCCACUGGAUCGGUACUGACGCUGAACGGCGAAAGCUAGGGGAGCAAACGGG